UCUCGAUAGGUGAAGAACUCUGGAAUGAGUCUUUGCCAAAAAGACGUUUACGUUAUGCUCGUAGACGUCGCCCAAGGAUGAGGCCGCGACCGAUCAGGUUGUUGGUGAGGUAAUGGCUCACCAAGCCUUUUACCGGUGCGGGCCGUGAGAGCGGGAGCCCGGAGAUGGGCACUGAGACAAGGGCCCAGGCCCUACGGGGCGCAGCAGUCGCGAAAACUUUGCAAUACACGAAAGUGUGACAGGGCUAUCCCGAGUGCCAUCCGCUGAGGAAGGCUUUUACCCAGUCUAGAACGCUGGGGGAAUAAGGAGAGGGCAAGUCUGGUGUCAGCCGCCGCGGUAAUACCAGCUCUCCGAGUGGUGUGGAUGUUUAUUGGGCCUAAAGCAUCCGUAGCUGGCUGAGUUAGUCCCUUGUUAAAUCCACCGAAUUAAUCGUUGGAUUGCGGGGGAUACUGCUCGGCUAGGGGACGAGAGAGGCAGACGGUAUUUCUGGGGUAGGGGUGAAAUCCUAUAAUCCCAGGAGGACCACCAGUGGCGAAGGCUGUCUGCUAGAACGCGCCCGACGGUGAGGGAUGAAAGCUGGGGGAGCGAACCGGAUUAGAUACCCGGGUAGUCCCAGCUGUAAACGAUGCAGACUAGGUGUUUGGACGGCCACGUGCCGUUCUAGUGCCGCAGGGAAGCUGUUAAGUC
rnacentral:rRNA from 1 species